AACAGUGCAAAAUACACCUCUUCUUUUCUUUAAGUGUUGUUACACCCUACCUAUGGAAUUUGACACACGAGUGCCUUCAACUCAAAAACUUUCACACAUCUACUCCAUCACGAGCAAUCUAUCAAGAAAUGGUGGGUGAAUCUCUUCGGCACUAACAUCCCCAAUAGAAAAUCCAUGACAUCUCUCGCUAUGUUCAUUUGUUGGACUAUAUGUAACAAAAGGAUUGCCCUUGUCUUUUGAUAAAAAGCUCGCCACCACCUAUCUUUCUCAAGUAAAACUUUUACUUAACACAUGUCUUGUAAAACAAAUAAAUUCUAUUAUCUCCUUAAUUAAUAAACGGGGCAAAACGUUCGCCUCUAUUUCAAAAUAAAAAUGCUCUAAUUCUUUGUGGCUUAUCUUCUUUCCUUCUCUUCACAACUAGGCUCAAUUUUUUUACAAAGGGUGGAUUUUAUUGAGUUUCCCGCCAUUGACAACACACACUAUAAAUGUCGGGCGUCAAUAUUCAUCUAGAACUAGCUGGGAUACGUACAUGUUGACGGUGUCCUGGAUUAAGGGGUGCUAGCUACGUCAGCCAGUCGGUCAUGGGCUUGGCCGAGUACCCCCGUGACAACUGAAAAAUGGGCCAUGUUUAUCAUGGUCCCCGACGUUCUCAAGAUGGAAUCCUCAGAAGACUUGGCGCAUAUUUCAAGACAUAUUGAAUUCAUCUGCAAGUUUACCCCUAAAUGUAACAGACAUCCUGUAAUCCUAGGUAACCUAGAACCUUAUCUAGUUAGAGGGGUUUAGUUCAUAGACUUAAGUUAGGUACUAACAUACGAUCUCGAGGUACAUCAUCAUGUACUU
rnacentral:lncRNA from 1 species